rnacentral:rRNA from 1 species
CGAACGGGUGCGUAACACGUGAGCAACCUGCCCCGAAGACUGGAAUAACGCCGGGAAACCGGCGCUAAUACCGGAUAUCCCCACGGAUUCGCAUGGAUCUGUGAGGAAAGGAUCCCGCUUCGGGAGGGGCUCGCGGCCUAUCAGUUUGUUGGUGGGGUAAUGGCCUACCAAGACUACGACGGGUAGCUGGUCUGAGAGGACGAUCAGCCACACUGGGACUGAGACACGGCCCAG